rnacentral:rRNA from 1 species
GAAACAACCCAGACCGCCAGCUAAGGUCCCAAAGUCAUGGUUAAGUGGGAAACGAUGUGGGAAGGCCCAGACAGCCAGGAUGUUGGCUUAGAAGCAGCCAUCAUUUAAAGAAAGCGUAAUAGCUCACUGGUCGAGUCGGCCUGCGCGGAAGAUGUAACGGGGCUAAACCAUGCACCGAAGCUGCGGCAGCGACACUAUGUGUUGUUGGGUAGGGGAGCGUUCUGUAAGCCGUUGAAGGUGGCCUGUGAGGGUUGCUGGAGGUAUCAGAAGUGCGAAUGCUGACAUAAGUAACGAUAAAGCGGGUGAAAAGCCCGCUCGCCGGAAGACCAAGGGUUCCUGUCCAACGUUAAUCGGGGCAGGGUGAGUCGACCCCUAAGGCGAGGCCGAAAGGCGUAGUCGAUGGGAAACAGGUUAAUAUUCCUGUACUUGGUGUUACUGCGAAGGGGGGACGGAGAAGGCUAUGUUGGCCGGGCGACGGUUGUC